rnacentral:rRNA from 1 species
AUUGAACGCUGGCGGCAGGCCUAACACAUGCAAGUCGAACGGUAACAGGGAUCAGCUUGCUGAUUCGCUGACGAGUGGCGGACGGGUGAGUAAUGUCUGGGAAACUGCCUGAUGGAGGGGGAUAACUACUGGAAACGGUAGCUAAUACCGCAUAACGUCGCAAGACCAAAGAGGGGGACCUUCGGGCCUCUUGCCAUCGGAUGUGCCCAGAUGGGAUUUGCUAGUAGGUGGGGUAACGGCUCACCUAGGCGACGAUCCCUAGCUGGUCUGAGAGGAUGACCAGCCACACUGGAACUGAGACACGGUCCAGACUCCUACGGGAGGCAGCAGUGGGGAAUAUUGCACAAUGGGCGCAAGCCUGAUGCAGCCAUGCCGCGUGUAUGAAGAAGGCCUUCGGGUUGUAAAGUACUUUCAGCGGGGAGGAAGGGAGUAAAGUUAAUACCUUUGCUCAUUGACGUUACCCGCAGAAGAAGCACCGGCUAACUCCGUG